rnacentral:rRNA from 1 species
AUUGAACGCUGGCGGCAGGCCUAACACAUGCAAGUCGAGCGGCAGCACGGGUACUUGUACCUGGUGGCGAGCGGCGGACGGGUGAGUAAUGCCUAGGAAUCUGCCUGGUAGUGGGGAUAACGCUCGGAAACGGACGCUAAUACCGCAUACGUCCUACGGGAGAAAGCAGGGGACCUUCGGGCCUUGCGCUAUCAGAUGAGCCUAGGUCGGAUUAGCUAGUUGGUGAGGUAAUGGCUCACCAAGGCGACGAUCCUUAGCUGGUCUGAGAGGAUGAUCAGCCACACUGGGACUGAGACACGGCCCAGACUCCUACCGGGAGGCAGCAGUGGGGAAUAUUGGACAAUGGGCGAAAGCCUGAUCCAGCAAUGCCGCGUGAGUGAUGAAGG